AACGAACGCUGGCGGCAGGCCUAACACAUGCAAGUCGAGCGGACCUUUCGGGGUCAGCGGCGGACGGGUGAGUAACGCGUGGGAAUAUGCCCUUCUCUACGGAAUAGUCCUGGGAAACUGGGGUUAAUACCGUAUACGCCCUUUGGGGGAAAGAUUUAUCGGGGAAGGAUUAGCCCGCGUUGGAUUAGGUAGUUGGUUGGGUAAUGGCCUACCAAGCCGACGAUCCAUAGCUGGUUUGAGAGGAUGAUCAGCCACACUGGGACUGAGACACGGCCCAGACUCCUACGGGAGGCAGCAGUGGGGAAUCUUAGACAAUGGGGGCAAGCAUGAUCUAGCCAUGCCGCGUGAGUGAUGAAGGCCUUAGGGUUGUAAAGCUCUUUCAGCUGGGAAGAUAAUGACGGUACCAGCAGAAGAAGCCCCGGCUAACUCCGUG
rnacentral:rRNA from 1 species